AUAAGAAGAGCAGGUCCCAAAGCCCUAAGUAGAGGCAAGCUUAGUGUGUUCAGGGAAGAACAAAAAUGCAAAAAUGACAUGUAGCUUAAGCAGAGUCAGUGAAAGAGACUGUAAGAGAGUGGCUAAGGCUAGAUGGUUCCGGGCUGGUAGGCCUUGGUAAGGACUUUAGAUUGAUUCUGAAUGUGAGGAAGUGUAUCAGGUAAGGGUAGAUCACAGGAGCCAUAAAAUACUCUCAUUAUGUAAUUUAACAAAGACCUGAUUCAGAGAAUCUGAGUGCUUAUAAAAUUAUCAAAAGGGUUGCAAGAGCAAGCUCUAAGCUGGGCCUCCAGGAGUGAGAGCCAGAACACCAUCAUCCAACCAGGCUGCCAGAUAUUGACAAAAAGCCAAUAUCUUCUCUUUGACCCCCCUACUCCCAACUCAAAGCAGGAAGUAAGGUCUUCCCUUCUGCUCUUCCGUAACACUUCACUUGUAUUUCUCUUGACAUACUUGAGAGGAGGGGCCAGCCGGGCUUCCUGGGUCGAGUAGGGGCUCAGAAAGCUGUGAAACUCACUCAUUUCAUGCAUCAGGACUUGCUUUGGUCCUGGAUGAAUAAUAUUGAAAAUACAUGCUUAAAAUAUUCCUAACACCAGGAUUUGUGCAUGUGUUUUCCACCCCAAGAAAGCUAUAAACAGCGAAAAUUUUGCUAUAAGCUUCCCUGUGUCCUUCUCCCUGUCUCCCUUCCCUCUCCCCUGAAACUAAUAAAAGAAAUGUUAAAUGCCCAUUUUUCUGUGACCAGUGGACCUUAUGCUCCCAAUCCCAGUUCCUUAUGAAUAUAUUUUGUAAAGUCCUGUAAAAUCCUGUCUCUUUUGCCAUGCCACUGCAAGGUCAUAAAGUAGAUAAAACUUAAGUUACAAUUCUGGUUUUCCUCAAAAUCUAAGAUAUGUCACAAAAUAAUUUACUGCCUUUGUUUCUUGCUCUGGUAACAUCUUCCCUCUGCACAUAUUUCCUGCCUUAAAGAGUUUAAAAGGCAACGGAAUAAUCUAACUCUGGCUACCCACUCGGGACCCCUUCCACGCUGUGGAAGCUUUGUACUGUCGCUCUGCUCAAUAAAGCUUACAGCUUUUUUUCUCUUGGUCUGUGUUUCCAUCACUCACCAGGGGCAGCUGCCAUACCAAUUCUUUGGCAUGGCUCAGGCAAGAACCUUUGGCGUUACAUUUUGGCGAGUCAGCCAGGAGAUCCAGGAAAGGCAUCUAGAUCGUCACGCGGAUUGAGGCCAUCAAGCUACAGAUGGUCUUACAAAUGGAACCUCAAAUAAGCUCAACUCACGGCUUCUAUCGAGGACACCUGGAUCAACCCGCUGGUCCCUCAACUGGCCUAAAAUGUUUCCCUCUGGAGGACACCACAGCUGCAGAGCCCCUUCUUCGCCCCUAACCAGCAAAAAGUAGCCAGACUGGCCGCUGCCCAGUUCCCAACAGCAGUUGGGGUGUCCUGACUAGAGGGAGGACUGGGAGGAGGGGCCAGCCGGGCUUCCUGGGUCGAGUAGGGGCUCAGAAAGCUGUGAAACUCACUAUUUCCUGCAUCAGGACUUGCUUCGGUCCUGGAUGAAUAAUACUGAAAAUAUAUGCUUAAAAUAUUCCUAACACCAGGAUUUGUGCAUGUGUUUUCUACCCCAAGAAAGCUAUAAACAGCGAAAAUUUUGCUGUAAGCUUCCCUGUGUCCUUUCUCCCUGUCUCCCUUCCCCCUCCCCUGAAACUAAUAAAAUGAAAGUUAAAUGCCCAUUUUUCUGUGACCAGUGGACCUUAUCUAUGCUCCCAAUUCCAAUUCCUUGUAAACAUAUUUUGUAAGGUCCAUAAAAUCCUGUCUCCUUUGCCACGCCGCUGCAAGGUCAUAAAGUAGAUAAAACCUAAGUUACAAUUCUGGUUUUCCUCAAAAUGUAAGACACACAAAAUAAUUUACUGCCUUUGUUUCUCGCUCUGUUAACAUCUUUCCCCUGCACAUAUUUCCUGCCUUAAAGAAUUUAAAAGGCAACUGCAUAAACUAACUCUGGCUACCCGCUCGGGACCCCUUCCACGCUAUGGAAGCUUUGUACUGUCACUCUGCUCAAUAAAGCUUACAGCUUUUUCUCUCUC